UACGUAGGGGGCUAGCGUUGUCCGGAAUCAUUGGGCGUAAAGCGCGUGUAGGCGGCUCGGUAAGUCCGUUCUGAAAGCCCAGGGCUCAACCCUGGGAUGCGGAUGGAUACUGUCGAGCUCGAGUCCGGAAGAGGCGAGUGGAAUUCCUGGUGUAGCGGUGGAAUGCGCAGAUAGUCAGGAGGAACACCAAUGGCGAAGGCAGCUCGCUGGGAC
rnacentral:rRNA from 1 species